UACGAAGGGGGCUAGCGUUGCUCGGAAUCACUGGGCGUAAAGGGUGCGUAGGCGGGUCUUUAAGUCAGGGGUGAAAUCCUAGAGCUCAACUCCAGAACUGCCUUUGAUACUGAAGAUCUUGAGUGCGGGAGAGGUGAGUGGAACUGCGAGUGUAGAGGUGAAAUUCGUAGAUAUUCGCAAGAACACCAGUGGCGAAGGCGGCUCACUGGCCCGGUACUGACGCUGAGGUGCGAAAGCGUGGGGAGCAAACAGG
rnacentral:rRNA from 1 species